rnacentral:rRNA from 1 species
AUUGAACGCUGGCGGCAUGCCUUACACAUGCAAGUCGAACGGCAGCACGGGUGCUUGCACCUGGUGGCGAGUGGCGAACGGGUGAGUAAUACAUCGGAACGUACCUUAUCGUGGGGGAUAACGCAGCGAAAGCUGUGCUAAUACCACAUACGCCCUGAGGGGGAAAGCGGGGGAUCGCAAGACCUCGCGCGAUUAGAGCGGCCGAUGCCUGAUUAGCUUGUUGGUGGGGUAAAAGCCCACCAAGGCGACGAUCAGUAGCUGGUCUGAGAGGACGAUCAGCCACACUGGGACUGAGACACGGCCCAGACUCCUACGGGAGGCAGCAGUGGGGAAUUUUGGAUAAUGGGGGCAACCCUGAUCCAGCAAUGCCGCGUGAGUGAAGAAGGCCUUCGGGUUGUAAAGCUCUUUUGUCAGGGAAGAAACACCGGCUCUAACACAGUCCGGGAAUGACGGUACCUGAAGAAUAAGCACCGGCUAACUACGUGCCAGCAGCCGCGGUAA